UCCAAUACAGAUACAGACUGGAAUAAAAAAUUCCAUUUUAAAAUGUUUAUUGAAAAAGCAACAUCUUCAAAACGCAAUAUAGAUAUCUGCUAUGCAGUGGGAGGUUGAGAAUGGCCUCUGCAGGUCUUAAUUAGGUGACCUUUGUUACAUGAGACUCCAAUUAAGAGGCUGCAAUGACAAUUAACCCCUCAUACACCAGAGCAGUAAAUAUAAAAACAGACCCUUUAGCCUAUUUUACAGAGACAAAUAACCAUUUUGUCACAGAGCGAAAACAGAGUUCUAAUUUAAAGAGAGGGGUCAGCUCCUCUUAUGCUUUCGGCAGAGGUCAUAGUAGCCAACUAUAGAUUAAGGAAGGGAGAUAAAUUGGGGGAGGAGAAGCAUCCUUUCCUGCUUUCCAAAGAAUCUCUUGUUUUUCUUGCUGCCUCUCAUUUCCCCAACUUUCCUAUCUCUUCUUUUCCUCUCUGCUUUUUUCUCUUCCUGCAUUCCUGGCUUUAUUAAUUUUCCUGUUGCUCUCUUUUUCAAUUACAUUCAGAGGCAGCUGGUAUGCUGGCUGCUUGUGUAGCAGAAGAAAAAGAGAGGAAAAAAACAACAGAAUAAAAAUUGCCUCCUCUAACAGAUACAACCCUGGGAUGCUAUACAGAAUUCAGGAGAAUAAACCAGCUGGGAUCCAACUUGCUGGAUAAGGCACAAAGACAGGCGUGCUUUUAAUAACUCAAUGAAAAAUUGGUCUCUCAAAAGUUUUAUACAGGGAAAACAAAAAAAAAUCUGCACAACACAAAAAACAGUAUGCUUAAUGUUUUAGACUGCUAUAGAGAAAAAGUUAUUUAGAGCCAAGAUUCAGUAUUACAGCAGCUGCAAGGAGUUGCCAAGGAAAAGUGGAAUUACAUUAAGUGGGAAUGGGAUUUCAGUUCAAGGGUAAGCCUCACUCAACUAAAUGGGACUUCAAAAAGUAGCUAGCAGCAACAGCCUAGGGCAGUAAUAGGCAAACUCUGGCCCUCCAGAUAUUUGGGACUACAAUUCCCAUCAUCCCUAGCUAACAGGACCAGUGGUCAGGAAUGAUGGGAAUUGUAGUCCCAAAACAUCUGGAGGGCCGAGUUUGCCUAUGCCUGCCCUAGGGCCACCUGUAGGGUUGUAGGGGCCACCACGUCUCCAAUUUCAUGCACUUAGUGGAAAAAAAAAGGAUGGCUGUUUUGGUUUCUCAAUGCAAAUGAGGUCCAGAUUAGGUCUAUACUAGGGGCAGAUCCAGAUCAAUGAAUCAGGGCCCAAAUUAGAUGGAUGGGCGUGUCUUGCACAGCUGUAAUUUAAGUGCUACAAUUGUUUCCACAGAUACUACAGUAGGAGUUUUUGACACGGGUCAAACACUUCAUUUACAUACAGAAACCUCAGGUUUAAUCUUAAAACAACUGAAUUCAAAAAAGGUUCAGGAAGCAGACCCUGUCUGCCCUUGACCCUGGAGAGCAACUACUAGCUAGUGCUGACUUCUGAGUAAUACUAAACUAUUAUACUUGCUAUAAGGCAGCUUCGUAUGUUCCAGAUUACUCUUUAUGUUUUCAGGUUCCUUCCCCCCUGAAAACCAGCCCAUUAAGACAUCGUAACUGUUGGCUGUAGCAGGCUGAUGCUUUGGCACAAUAUGAAGCAACAUCAAGGCACAAUAGGAAGCCACCUUAAAUGUCAACCUGUUCAGGUUUUCCUGUAUCAAAUUGCAAUUGUAGACCAAAAUCUGGUUGACUUUCUACUCUAGUUUUAACUCUUAAAACAAUCAAAUUCCAAUAAAAUAUGAAAAAAUAUUUUUAAAAAACAAACAAACCCCAAACAGGAGUGUUAAUCCAGAAUAGUCAGAACUAUUGGAGGAUGACUGUUGCUAGGCUUAAAUUCACAGAACUGGCAGCACAGUUCCCUCACAGAACAGGAAAUGGGACUUCUCUAACCACUUUUUUGGGAAUAAGCUCCACUGAAUUAAUAGAAUUAAAUAGAUUACUUCUGAGUGAUUAAUGAUUUAGACUGCACUGUGUCUCAUGCUUUCACACCGUACUGAAUGAUCGACCAAAUCUAAGCGUGCCUCACGUUCACAUAUCCCAUGUGGUAAGGCAUAAGUUCCUCCCUUCAAGUGAUUUGUUGCAAGCAUGAAAAGUCUUCCCAUUAUCCCUGAAGCUUAAUCUGGAAUAUUUAUGUAAAGAAUAUAAAAUACACUUCUUGUAAACAGAGCCAGAAUCAUAAUUAUGCAAAAAAACAAAAUAAACCUGGUUACGUUAGAAACAUACUGCCUUAACUACACAAUCUUUUGCACAUGAAGGUAUGAACAUGAUGUGUUUCAGCUUACUGCCCCCCAUAGCUAACCGUAGGAUAUACCUGUACACACUUUUCCAGCUUGCAACUUAAGCCUUUGGUUUAAAGAAACAACUAUUGCCCUUGGCAACCUGUUAAGACUCAGGUUUUGGUGUCAAUAUACAAAACAUACAGAUCUACUUGAGCUCAAUAGCUAAGUGUCAAGGAAAUGUUGUACAUGUAGGUCCUGCUUUCCAAACACAGUGCAUUACCAGGAAAUCAUUUGCAAGCAUUUGCAUAGCGAGCUGAUGAUUUCCAU
rnacentral:lncRNA from 1 species